GUCUACGGCCAUACCACCCUGAACACGCCCGAUCUCAUCUGAUCUCGGAAGCUAAGCAGGGCCGGACCUGGGUAGCACUUGGAUGGGAGAUCACCUAGGAAUACUGGGUGCUGAAGGCG
rnacentral:rRNA from 1 species